CCUACGGGAGGCAGCAGUGGGGAAUAUUGCACAAUGGGCGAAAGCCUGAUGCAGCGACGCCGCGUGAGGGAUGACGGCCUUCGGGUUGUAAACCUCUUUCAGCAGGGACGAAGCGCAAGUGACGGUACCUGCAGAAGAAGCACCGGCUAACUACGUGCCAGCAGCCGCGGUAAUACGUAGGGUGCAAGCGUUGUCCGGAUUUAUUGGGCGUAAAGAGCUCGUAGGCGGUUUGUCGCGUCGGAUGUGAAAACCAGCAGCUUAACUGCUGGCCUGCAUUCGAUACGGGCAGACUUGAGGACGGUAGGGGAGACUGGAACUCCUGGUGUAGCGGUGGAAUGCGCAGAUAUCAGGAAGAACACCGGUGGCGAAGGCGGGUACUCUGGGCCGUUCCGUGACGCUGAGGAGCGAAAGCGUGGGUAGCAACCAGGAUUAGAUACCCUGGUAGUCCACGCCGUAAACGUUGGGCGCUAGGUGUGGGGACAUUCCACGUCCUCUGUGCCGCAGCUAACGCAUUAAGCGCCCCGCCUGGGGAGUACGGCCGCGAAGGCUAAAACGUCAAAGGAAUUGACGG
rnacentral:rRNA from 1 species